rnacentral:rRNA from 1 species
GACAGCAGCCGCCGCGGUAAAACGUAGGUGGCAAGCGUUGUCCGGAAUUAUUGGGCGUAAAGGGCUCGCAGGCGGUUUCUUAAGUCUGAUGUGAAAGCCCCCGGCUCAACCGGGGAGGGUCAUUGGAAACUGGGAAACUUGAGUGCAGAAGAGGAGAGUGGAAUUCCACGUGUAGCGGUGAAAUGCGUAGAGAUGUGGAGGAACACCAGUGGCGAAGGCGACUCUCUGGUCUGUAACUGACGCUGAGGAGCGAAAGCAUGGGGAGCGAACAGGAUUAGAUACCCGAGUAGUCCCUGUCUCUUAUAC